CCUCCCUCGGGAUUUGGGUGCAGAGAACUGUUUAUCCGGUCUGUUUCCUUCAGGUUCCGGCAGUGUCUCAGGCGCAGGGGUCCUGCUGCUCCCGGGCCCUCCCCUACGGGAACCCAGAGGCCUUAUACAGUUUCCUCUUGGGCCAGGGAUGUGGGCAGGGGUGGGCAGUGUUGGUGGUCUCCUCCGCUCUGCAGCCUCAGGAGUGCCCACCUGAUCAGGCGGUGGGGUCUCUCUCCCACGGGGUUUGGGAGCAGAGAGCUGCUGCGGUCCGGGAUCCGCCGGUGUGGGACUUCCGAUAAACACAGGAAGUGCCCGGCCUUAGAGGAAUUUUGCCUCUGUGUGUCCUGAGUUCACCAGGCAGGUUUCUUGCAAGGGAAAAGUUGGUCCUACCUGCAGUUCCAAGGCUCAAGUUUGCUCGUGGGGUACUGCCUAAGUCCUCUCUGCUGUGGCAGCAACCGGGAAGAUCUGCGCCGCUCUUUCUGGGAGCCUCCGUGCACCAGGGUUCCAGAUGGCGUUUGGUGUUUUCCUCUGGCGCCUGGAUGUGCACAGAGUGCAGUCUCUUCUGGUUUCCCAGGCGUGUCCGCCUCUCUGAAGAUUCAGCUCUCCCUCCCUCGGGAUUUGGGUGCAGAGAACUGUUUAUCUGGUCUGUUUCCUUCAGGUUCCGGCAGUGUCUCAGGCGCAGGGGUCCUGCCGCUCCCGGGCCCUCCCCUACGGGAACCCAGAGGCCUUAUACAGUUGCCUCUUGGGCCAGGGAUGUGGGCAGGGGUGGGCAGUGUUGGUGGUCUCCUCCGCUCUGCAGCCUCAGGAGUGCCCACCUGAUCAGGCGGUGAGGUCUCUCUCCCACGGGGUUUCAUGCAUAUGCUUCUUGCUGCACACAUAUGUGCACAAAGGCCAGAAGUCAGCAUCAGGUAUCUUCCACUAUGGCUCUCCGCUUGUUUUUGUGAGAUGGCAUCUCACAUUGAACCUGGAGCUCACUCUGGCAGCUAGCCUGGCUAGCGAAUGCACUUCAGAGACCUAUCUAUCUGUGCCUCUCGAUGCUUGAGUUAUGUAGGUCCUGGGAUCCAAAUUCAUGUCUCAUGCUUUUGUGGCAGCCACUUUAUGGACUGAGCCAUCUCUCUAGUCCUAAGCCAAUUUUUCCUUGUCCCUCUAUUACUUUCUGUUCGACUAGAGGACUAAGUGAUACAUGUGUCAUCUGGGGGAUAAGGUGUUUAUAUUUCUUCAGUUAAAUUGAAAGCAAAUGAAAUUUAUGAGCAUCUAAAAUUCUCAUAGUUUAGUGAAACCUUAAAGAGUCAUUUCUUACCCCAGAUAAUUUAUUUACUGUUGAUCUUUAUCAAUGAAUCUAUAUUUCAGUAAUUUCUACUGAAAUAGAGUGAAUUGUUAUGGGGCGAUGUUUCUGAAUUGUUUGGGACUCUGAAUGAACCUUGUCACAGAACCCUUCUGGUUGUCUGGUGCCUGCACAUCUCCCGCAUGCUUCAAAUUCACACCCAGGAACUUCUCUUCACUUGUGAAGUCAUUUGAGGAGUUUUUUGUGUGACUCCUGACCUUAUUGUGUCUAAGACAUCAUGAACUUGGCCAUAAACAAAUGCACACGUGUCUCACACCAGGGUGCAACCUUAUGCACCAGUGUCUUGAUGUAUCACCUUCAUAAGUUAGGAAAUAGUUAAUCAUAACCCUGGAGAAUCUGCCCCUUUGAACUUUGCUUACAGCACAGUAAUGGUUUUUGUUUGAUUUAUACAGAUGUGAUACUUUGGGAAGUCUGCCUGGGAGGCAUACUACAUUCGAGAGGUAAACAGAGUGGAGUCUGUGAACAGUCACACUUCCCACUGUGGUUUGAAGUUCAGUCCCGGCGGGUGGCCAUCUUGGCUCAUCAACUGAGGGCCUGCAGUGACCACAGGGGAUGGAAAUGAACGGAGAACAUGAUCCCAUGAGCCAAAGUUCUGCUUCAGGACAGCCUCUGGGGCCACCUUUGACGUGGAGUCGCUGCACUGUACAGCUGCCUUCAGUCACUACCUUUUUUACAAGUUUAGUUAGUUAUUGAACAUGUUAACAUAUCAACUGAAUAUUAGUUGAUAUCGGAUGGUUUUAAUUCCUGCCCAUAAGUCAGUGGCUGAAGAAGAGUAGGCAAGAAAUCCUUGCAAGCUAAGAUACCUGUCAAAGAGAACAGCUUUAAGGAAAUCAAUGCACUGGGGAACCGGUUUGGUACCCCAAUCCUCUUCAUGACGGGAGACGAGCUUUUGUUAGCUCUCUCAGUGCAAACCUCCUCCAGCCCCAGUGAUGAAUUAUUUCUUAGGCUACCUCUCUCAAUUACUUUCACAUAAUAAAAAUGCUUUCUGA